GAAACUUAGGAUUACUUAAACCGAGG
rnacentral:tRNA from 2 species